rnacentral:rRNA from 1 species
UACGAAGGGGGCUAGCGUUGUUCGGAUUUACUGGGCGUAAAGCGCACGUAGGCGGAUCGUUAAGUCGGGGGUGAAAUCCUGGAGCUCAACUCCAGAACUGCCUUCGAUACUGGCGAUCUUGAGUCCGGAAGAGGUGAGUGGAACUCCUAGUGUAGAGGUGGAAUUCGUAGAUAUUAGGAAGAACACCAGUGGCGAAGGCGGCUCACUGGUCCGGUACUGACGCUGAGGCACGAAAGCCAGGGGAGCGAACGGG